UAACCAGCCAACCUUCACGAACCCAGAAAAAUGGUUGGUAAACUGGUGGAGAGGUAGUGAAACUUGCCACACUGUCAAUCUGGAAACUAUCUGUCAAUAUAAAAAAGCCAUUCCUUAAAGAAAGCCAUUCCUUAAAGGACAAAAUAGGGCCUUGAAAAACCGGCUGUGGACUACUGCAGACUGGACAAAGUCUCCUCUUCACAGUAGAAACUGAGACUUGCUUUU